rnacentral:rRNA from 1 species
GGGUACUGCGGAGGUCAUUAUCGAGUUUUGAAUGGGUUGUCUGCUGGCUCGCAAGGGCAUGUGCACGCCUGUCUCAUCCACUCUCAACUUCUGUGCACUUUUCAUAGGCCGGCUUGUGGGUGCGUUCGCGCACUUGUAGGUGUCGGGCUUAUGCUUUACUACAAACGAUUCAGUUUUAGAAUGUCAUACUUUGCUAUAACGCAAUUAUAUACAACUUUCAGCAACGGAUCUCUUGGCUCUCGCAUCGAUGAAGAACGCAGCGAAAUGCGAUAAGUAAUGUGAAUUGCAGAAUUCAGUGAAUCAUCGAAUCUUUGAACGCACCUUGCGCUCCUUGGUAUUCCGAGGAGCAUGCCUGUUUGAGUCUCAUGGAAUUCUCAACCUUCAGCUUUAUUGAUGAAGGCUUGGACUUGGAGGUCGUGCCGGCUCUCGUAGUCGGCUCCUCUGAAAUGCAUUAGUGCGAACGUUACCAGCCGCUUCAGCGUGAUAAUUAUCUGCGUUGCUGUGGAGGGUAUUCUAGUGUUCACGCUUCUAACCGUCUUCGGACAAAUUUCUGAACUCUGAGCUCAAAUCAGGUAGGACUACCCGCUGAACUUAAGCAUAUCAAAAACGGGGAAGAAAA